CUCACCNCGGGGGAACUCCCCCAGGUCCAGACAUAGUAAGGANNACAGAUUGAGANNUCUUUUNUNGAUUCUAUGGGUGGNGNUGCAUGGCCGUUNUUAGNNNGGUGGAGUGAUUUGUCUGGUUAANUCCGUUAACGAACGAGACCUUAACCUGCUAAAUAGUUAGGCCAACGUUUGNNGGUCGUCANNUUNUUAGAGGGACUAUUGACUAUUAGUCAAUGGAAGUUUGAGGCAAUAACAGGUCUGUGAUGCCCUUAGAUGUUNUGGGCCGCACGCGCGCUACACUGAUCAAGUCAACGAGUUUACAACCUUGGCCGGAAGGUCUGGGUAAUCUUUUGAAACUUGAUCGUGCUGGGGAUAGUCCAUUGCAAUUAUUGGACUUCAACGAGGAAUUCCUAGUAAGCGUGAGUCAUCAGCUCGCGUUGAUUACGUCCCUGCCCUUUGUACACACCGCCCGUCGCUACUACCGAUUGAAUGGCUUAGUGAGGCUUUCGGAUUGGACUUUGGCAGCUGGCAACAGCAGCUAGAGACUAANAANNNNUCCAAACUUGGUCAUUUAGAGGAAGUAAAAGUU
rnacentral:rRNA from 1 species